CUGCGAAUGGCUCAUUAUAUAAGUUAUCGUUUAUUUGAUAGUGCCUUACUACUUGGAUAACCGUGGUAAUUCUAGAGCUAAUACAUGCUGAAAAUCCCGACUUCGGAAGGGAUGUGUUUAUUAGAUUAAAAACCAAUGCCCUCUGGGCUCCUUGGUGAUUCAUGAUAACUGUUCGAAUCGCAUGGCCUUGCGCCGGCGAUGGUUCAUUCAAAUUUCUUCCCUAUCAACUUUCGAUGUUUGGGUAUUGGCCAAACAUGGUCGCAACGGGUAACGGAGGGUUAGGGCUCGACCCCGGAGAAGGAGCCUGAGAAACGGCUACUACAUCCAAGGAAGGCAGCAGGCGCGCAAAUUACCCAAUCCCGAUCCGGGGAGGUAGUGACAAUAAAUACUGAUACAGGGCUCUUUUGGGUCUUGUAAUUGGAAUGAGUACAAUUUAAAUCCCUUAACGAGGAACAAUUGGAGGGCAAGUCUGGUGCCAGCAGCCGCGGUAAUUCCAGCUCCAAUAGCGUAUAUUAAAGUUGUUGUGGUUAAAAAGCUCGUAGUUGAACCUUGGGCCUGGCUGGCCGGUCCGCCUCACCGCGUGCACUGGUCCGGCCGGGCCUUUCCCUCUGCGGAACCCCAUGCCCUUCACUGGGUGUGGCGGGGAAGCAGGACUUUUACUUUGAAAAAAUUAGAGUGCUUCAGGCAGGCCUAUGCUCGAAUACAUUAGCAUGGAAUAAUGAAAUAGGACGCGCGGUUCUAUUUUGUUGGUUUCUGGGACCGCCGUAAUGGUUAAUAGGGACAGUCGGGGGCAUCAGUAUUCAAUCGUUAGAGGUGAAAUUCUUGGAUCGAUUGAAGACUAACUACUGCGAAAGCAUUUGCCAAGGAUGUUUUCAUUAAUCAGGAACGAAAGUUAGGGGAUCGAAGACGAUCAGAUACCGUCGUAGUCUUAACCAUAAACUAUGCCGACUAGGGAUCGGACGACGUUAAUUUUUGACGCGUUCGGCACCUUACGAGAAAUCAAAGUGC
rnacentral:rRNA from 2 species